CCCCUACCCGGAUGUUCAUAGCCCUUUGUUGUCCGACUCUGUUGCCUCCGGGGCGACCCUGCCUUCGGGCGGGGGCUCCGGGUGGACACUUCAAACUCUUGCGUAACUUUGCAGUCUGAGUAAACUUAAUUAAUAAAUUA
rnacentral:misc_RNA from 1 species